rnacentral:rRNA from 1 species
GACAGAGGGGGCAAGCGUUGCUCGGAAUCACUGGGCGUAAAGGGCGCGUAGGCGGCACGGCAAGUCAGGAGUGAAAGCCCGGGGCUCAACCCCGGAAUGUCUUUUGAAACUGCCGAGCUAGAGUGCGGAAGAGGCAACUGGAAUUCCCAGUGUAGCGGUGAAAUGCGUAGAUAUUGGGAAGAACACCUGAGGCGAAGGCGGGUUGCUGGGCCGACACUGACGCUCAGGCACGAAAGCGUGGGGAGCAAACAGG